AUUGAACGCUGGCGGCAGGCCUAACACAUGCAAGUCGAGCGAGCGGCAGAGGGGUGAGUAAUGCCUGAGCGUCGCCCAGUCGAGGGGGAAAUCAGUUGGAGACGGCUGCUAACACCGCAUCCGCUUGGCUUGCACAGGUGGGAUUAGAUAGUUGGGGUGGUAAUGUCUCACAAAGGCGAAGCUCCAUAGCUGGUCUGAGAGGAUGAUCAGCCACACUGGAACUUGGACACGGUCCAGACUCCUACGGGAGGCAGCAGUGGGGAAUAUUUCACAAUGGGGGAAACCCUGAUGCAUCCAUGCCGCGUGUGUGAAGAAGGCCUUCGGGUUGUAAAGCACUUUCGGCGAGGAAGCGUUACGCGCAGAAGAAGCACCGGCUAACUCCGUGCCAGCCGCCGCGGUAAUAC
rnacentral:rRNA from 1 species